rnacentral:rRNA from 1 species
GAUGAACGCUGGCGGCGUGCCUAAUACAUGCAAGUCGAGCGAACAGACGAGGAGCUUGCUCCUCUGACGUUAGCGGCGGACGGGUGAGUAACACGUGGAUAACCUACCUAUAAGACUGGGAUAACUUCGGGAAACCGGAGCUAAUACCGGAUAAUAUAUUGAACCGCAUGGUUCAAUAGUGAAAGACGGUUUUGCUGUCACUUAUAGAUGGAUCCGCGCCGCAUUAGCUAGUUGGUAAGGUAACGGCUUACCAAGGCAACGAUGCGUAGCCGACAUGAGAGGGUGAUCGGCCACACUGGAACUGAGACACGGUACAGACUCCUACGGGAGGCAGCAGUAGGGAAUCUUCCGCAAUGGGCGAAAGCCUGACGGAGCAACGCCGCGUGAGUGAUGAAGGUCUUCGGAUCGUAAAACUCUGUUAUUAGGGAAGAACAAAUGUGUAAGUAACUAUGCACGUCUUGACGGUACCUAAUCAGAAAGCCACGGCUAACUACGUG